GAUGAACGUUUGCGGCGUGCCUUAUGCAUGCAAGUCGUACGGUCCGCAAGGACAGUGGCGAAAGGCUGAGUAACACGCAGGUGACCUACCCCAAGGCGGGGAAUAGCCUGACGAAAGACAGAGUAAUACCGCAUGUGAUGAUGGGUAUAGACGCCCGUCAUGAAAACCGCAAGGUACCUUGGGAGGGGCCUACGGCCGAUUAGCUAGUUGGUGAGGUAAUGGCCCACCAAGGCUCUGAUCGGUAGCUGGUCUGAGAGGACGGACAGCCAGACGGGGACUGAGACACGGCCCCGACUCCUACGGGAGGCAGCAGCAAGGAAUUUUGCGCAAUGGGCGAAAGCCUGACGCAGCGACGCCGCGUGAGGGAUGACAGCCUUCGGGUUGUAAACCUCUUUUCACGCGGAGGAUAAUGACAGUACGCGUGGAAUAAGUCUCGGCUAACUACGUGCCAGCAGCCGCAGUAAUAC
rnacentral:rRNA from 1 species